GACGAACGCUGGCGGCGUGCUUAACACAUGCAAGUCGAGCGAUGAAGUUCCUUCGGGAAUGGAUUAGCGGCGGACGGGUGAGUAACACGUGGGUAACCUGCCUCAUAGAGGGGAAUAGCCUUUCGAAAGGAAGAUUAAUACCGCAUAAGAUUGUAGUUUCGCAUGAAACAGCAAUUAAAGGAGUAAUCCGCUAUGAGAUGGACCCGCGUCGCAUUAGCUAGUUGGUGAGGUAACGGCUCACCAAGGCGACGAUGCGUAGCCGACCUGAGAGGGUGAUCGGCCACAUUGGGACUGAGACACGGCCCAGACUCCUACGGGAGGCAGCAGUGGGGAAUAUUGCACAAUGGGGGAAACCCUGAUGCAGCAACGCCGCGUGAGUGAUGACGGUCUUCGGAUUGUAAAACUCUGUCUUCAGGGACGAUAAUGACGGUACCUGAGGAGGAAGCCACGGCUAACUACGUGCCAGCCGCCGCCGUAAUAC
rnacentral:rRNA from 1 species